rnacentral:rRNA from 1 species
AUCUCAAAUCAGGUAGGACUACCCGCUGAACUUAAGCAUAUCAAUAAGCGGAGGAAAAGAAACUAACAAGGAUUCCCCUAGUAACUGCGAGUGAAGCGGGAAGAGCUCAAAUUUNAAAUCUGGCGUGCCUAUGGUCGUCCGAGUUGUAGUCUGGAGAAGUGUUUUCCGUGCUGGACCGUGUA